CGCGGGAUUGGGGGGACGGGGUGCAGCAGGCGCGAAACCUUUACAAUGCACGAAAGUGUGAUAAGGGAAUUCCAAGUGCUCAUGUUUUUCAUGGGCUUUUGCCAAGGGUAAAUACCUUGGAGAAUAAGCGGUGGGUAAGACUGGUGCCAGCAGCCGCGGUAACACCAGCGCCGCAAGUGGGGACCACUUUUAUUGGGCCUAAAGCGUCCGUAGCUGGUUGUAUAAAUCUCUUGUGAAAUCGUGUGACUUAAUCAUACGGAUGGCAGGAGACACUGUAUAACUUGAGACUGGGAGGGGUAUGGAGUAUUCCAGGGGAACCGGUAAAAUGGGAUAAUCCUUGGAGGACUACCUGUGGCGAAGGCGCCAUACCAGAACGGAUCUGACAGUGAGGGACGAAGGCCAGGGGAGCGAACCGGAUUAGAUACCCGAGUAGUCCUGGCAGUAAACGCUGCGAGCAAGGUGUUGCACAACCUUCGUGGUUGUGCAGUGUCGAAGCGAAGGCGAUAAGCUCGCCGCCUGGGAAGUAUGGUCGCAAGACUGAAACUUAAAGGAAUUGGCGGGGGAGCACCACAAGGGGUGCGGCGUGCGGUUUAAUCUAACUCAACGCAGAGAAUCUCACCAAGGGCGACGGCAAGAUGAAGGUCAGUCUAAAGGGCUUACCUAAUGAGCCGAGAGGUGGUGCAUGGCCGCCGUCAGCUCGUGCCGUAAGGUGUCCAGUUAAGUCUGGUAACGAGCGAGACCUGUACUCACAAUUGCUAGCAUGUCCUUUAGGAUGAAUGGGCACAAUGUGAGGACUGCCUUGGAAACAAGGAGGAAGGUGCAGACUACGGUAGGUCUGUAUGCCCCGAAUCUCUUGGGCUACACGCGCGCAACAAUGGUACGGACACUGGGAUGCAACUCCGAAAGGAGAAGCUAAACCUCGAAACCGUAUCCUAGUCCAGAUCGAGGACUGUAACUCGUCCUCGUGACGCCGGAAUCCCUAGUAAUCCCAUGUCAACAUCGUGGGGUGAAUACGUCCCUGCUCCUUGCACGAAUUCGCCGAAUCACUAGU
rnacentral:rRNA from 1 species